GAUGAACGCUGGCGGCGUGCUUAACACAUGCAAGUCGAACGAUGAAGCCCAGCUUGCUGGGUGGAUUAGUGGCGAACGGGUGAGUAACACGUGAGUAACCUGCCCUUAACUCUGGGAUAAGCCAGGGAAACUGGGUCUAAUACCGGAUAGGAGCGUCCACCGCAUGGUGGGUGUUGGAAAGAUUUAUCGGUUUUGGAUGGACUCGCGGCCUAUCAGCUUGUUGGUGAGGUAAUGGCUCACCAAGGCGACGACGGGUAGCCGGCCUGAGAGGGUGACCGGCCACACUGGGACUGAGACACGGCCCAGACUCCUACGGGAGGCAGCAGUGGGGAAUAUUGCACAAUGGGCGCAAGCCUGAUGCAGCGACGCCGCGUGAGGGAUGACGGCCUUCGGGUUGUAAACCUCUUUCAGUAGGGAAGAAGCGAAAGUGACGGUACCUGCAGAAGAAGCACCGGCUAACUACGUG
rnacentral:rRNA from 1 species